rnacentral:rRNA from 1 species
GAUGAACGCUGGCGGCGUGCCUAAUACAUGCAAGUCGAGCGAACAGACGAGGAGCUUGCUCCUUUGACGUUAGCGGCGGACGGGUGAGUAACACGUAGGUAACCUACCUAUAAGACUGGGAUAACUUCGGGAAACCGGAGCUAAUACCGGAUAAUAUUUCGAACCGCAUGGUUCGAUAGUGAAAGAUGGCUUUGCUAUCACUUAUAGAUGGACCUGCGCCGUAUUAGCUAGUUGGUAAGGUAACGGCUUACCAAGGCAACGAUACGUAGCCGACCUGAGAGGGUGAACGGCCACACUGGAACGGAGACACGGUCCAGACUCCUACGGGAGGCAGCAGUAGGGAAUCUUCCGUUAUGGGCGAAAGCCUGACGGAGCAAAGCCGCGUGAGUGAUGAAGGUCUUCGGAUCGUAAAACUCUGUUAUUAGGGAAGAACAAACGUGUAAGUAACUGUGCACGUCUUGACGGUACCUAAGCAGAAGGCCACGGCUAACUACGUG